rnacentral:rRNA from 1 species
UGCUGGAGGUAUCAGAAGUGCGAAUGCUGACAUAAGUAACGAUAAAGCGGGUAAAACGCCCGCUCGCCGGAAGACCAAGGGUUCCUGUCCAACGUUAAUCGGGGCAGGGUGAGUCGACCCCUAAGGCGAGGCCGAAAGGCGUAGUCGAUGGGAAACGGGUUAAUAUUCCCGUACUUGGUGUUACUGCGAAGGGGGGACGGAGAAGGCUAUGUUGGCCGGGCGACGGUUGUCCCGGUUUAAGCGUGUAGGUGUGUGUUCCAGGUAAAUCCGGUUCACUUUAACACUGAGGCGUGACGACGAGGCACUACGGUGCUGAAGCAACAAAUGCCCUGCUUCCAGGAAAAGCCUCUAAGCAUCAGGUAACACGAAAUCGUACCCCAAACCGACACAGGUGGUCAGGUAGAGAAUACCAAGGCGCUUGAGAGAACUCGGGUGAAGGAACUAGGCAAAAUGGUGCCGUAACUUCGGGAGAAGGCACGCUGACACGUAGGUGAAGUGAUUUACUCAUGGAGCUGAAGUCAGUCGAAGAUACCAGCUGGCUGCAACUGUUUAUUAAAAACACAGCACUGUGCAAACACGAAAGUGGACGUAUACGGUGUGACGCCUGCCCGGUGCCGGAAGGUUAAUUGAUGGGGUCAGCGCAAGCGAAGCUCCUGAUCGAAGCCCCGGUAAACGGCGGCCGUAACUAUAACGGUCCUAAGGUAGCGAAAUUCCUUGUCGGGUAAGUUCCGACCUGCACGAAUGGCGUAAUGAUGGCCAGGCUGUCUCCACCCGAGACUCAGUGAAAUUGAACUCGCUGUGAAGAUGCAGUGUACCCGCGGCAAGACGGAAAGACCCCGUGAACCUUUACUAUAGCUUGACACUGAACAUUGAGCCUUGAUGUGUAGGAUAGGUGGGAGGCUUUGAAGUGUGGACGCCAGUCUGCAUGGAGCCGACCUUGAAAUACCACCCUUUAAUGUUUGAUGUUCUAACGUGGACCCGUAAUCCGGGUUGCGGACAGUGUCUGGUGGGUAGUUUGACUGGGGCGGUCUCCUCCUAAAGAGUAACGGAGGAGCACGAAGGUUGGCUAAUCCUGGUCGGACAUCAGGAGGUUAGUGCAAUGGCAUAAGCCAGCUUGACUGCGAGCGUGACGGCGCGAGCAGGUGCGAAAGCAGGUCAUAGUGAUCCGGUGGUUCUGAAUGGAAGGGCCAUCGCUCAACGGAUAAAAGGUACUCCGGGGAUAACAGGCUGAUACCGCCCAAGAGUUCAUAUCGACGGCGGUGUUUGGCACCUCGAUGUCGGCUCAUCACAUCCUGGGGCUGAAGUAGGUCCCAAGGGUAUGGCUGUUCGCCAUUUAAAGUGGUACGCGAGCUGGGUUUAGAACGUCGUGAGACAGUUCGGUCCCUAUCUGCCGUGGGCGCUGGAGAACUGAGGGGGGCUGCUCCUAGUACGAGAGGACCGGAGUGGACGCAUCACUGGUGUUCGGGUUGUCAUGCCAAUGGCACUGCCCGGUAGCUAAAUGCGGAAGAGAUAAGUGCUGAAAGCAUCUAAGCACGAAACUUGCCCCGAGAUGAGUUCUCCCUGAGACUUAGAGUCUCCUGAAGGAACGUUGAAGACGACGACGUUGAUAGGCCGGGUGUGUAAGCGCAGCGAUGCGUUGAGCUAACCGGUACUAAUGAACCGUGAGGCUUAACCUU